ACAGCACUCAGGGUAUACAGAAGAUGAGGAUCGUGACCUAUGCUGGCACUUAUUCCACCACAUUCAUGUUGACACGAUUUGAUGAAUGCCAGAAUUUCUUCUUUGUUCAUUCGGUGCAGCUGUCCCAUGAGAUCCAUUGCUGUCAGCCCCCAGUAAACACCACUCAUCCUCAAAUACUCAGACAUACAGUACUCAUAAUCGUCUUUCUUUGUUCCAUACGAAGCUAUGUAGUCCGCAUGUUUCUCUGAAAGCAACGUACUUGGAGCAUCUGGUUUUAUUACAACGUCCUUCUGUGGUGUCCC
rnacentral:lncRNA from 1 species